rnacentral:rRNA from 1 species
GUCUAUGGCCAUACCACCCUGAGCGUGCUCGAUCUCGUCUGAUCUCAGAUGCCAGCAGGGCCGGUCUGGUUACUACUUGGAUAUGAGAGAGGAAGUGAAGAGAGGGAAGAAGAGA